UUUGGCCCAGUUUGCAAUAAGUGUAACAUACAACUAAAUCUCAAAGAUUGUCAUAAAUGUGUAGAUGCUACUUUUCUUUUUUAUUAUGUGAUGAGAUGUUUUACAACUUACAAGUACCUAUCUAGGCCGCUGUUUAGUAAAUUCUAUUAUUGCAUAUUCUAUAUAAUUUACUUUGGUUAUAAACUUGCAGAUCUUGUUAUUUUCUAGUGACACACACCUGCCACCUCAGCAUGGCGAUUGUAUCUCUAUUCUUCCAAGAAACGACAAAGCUCUUUCUUUCCCACUCGACAUGUCUUCUACCCGAGCAUGGCGCGAGCUGUAGACUCGCGUUUCUAUCAAGAGAAAGACUUUCCAUAGCAACGGAUAAGUAGCUAGUGAUGGGUCGUUCUGCGAUGAAUUUACGUUUAGUUAGCCAAAAAAAAUGUGUCAAUGCACUAUUUUUCACGCAUGAACCUAUACAUAAACUCACGUAACUCAAAGUAACAACAAAACGUAUUCAUCGAACUUAUUUUUUAUCUGUGGAACUAAAAUGGUUCAUGUUUGUUUGUUUACAAAAAAUGAUUAUUGUUGUUGAUUUUAAGUAUUUAAAUAUUGGUGAUUACUGCGUGCGGCAAGGAAAAACGUACGAAGUCCCAUCCAAUAAACAGAGAAGAUAGUAUCCCGAUCCAUUGGGAAAAGAAGGCCACGAUAAAGAAGAAUAGGUCCGUAUUCAAACGCUGCUGAAAAAAUAUGGAAAAGAACGAGUUCUUGGCAUACAAUGCUGACACGAGAAUCAUUCUAUUAAUUACAAAAAAAGGAUGCUAAAUGACAACUGGGUCGUCAGUUCACAAAUUAUAAAUUAUUGAAAUGAUAUCAUUUAAUAAAGAAUGUGAAUAUUAAAAUCAUAA